rnacentral:piRNA from 1 species
UGGACUAACAGGAAAGCCAGUGAUGG